AGAAAAUUAAUCAUAAACUGAUUUAAAAACUUGAGUGCGGAUAGUUGGUCAUCUGACAUGGUAUGAUAACAGAGGUCGUUUAGGAGAGGUCUUGGGUACAAGAUCUUUGGUGAGAUGUGUCCAGGUAAUUUAAGAAAGUUAAAACAAAUUGUUAAGUAACCAGUUUUCUAAAAACCUCGAGGUAUUAGGACUUUCACUUAUUUCAAUUUUAUCAUUUACGUAUUCAACAUAAAUGAAUAUGAUUAUAUGCAUGUGUGUAAUCACCUGAUAGCAAGCACCACAACCUACACCAUCUCGGUAGAGAUCAGAUGCAGCUGAUACAUCCCCGCCGUUAAUGGUUGCUCCAAAUGUGCCAUACCCACACGCCCCACCUAGUAUUGAUUAAUAAAAAUAUGUUUAGUAUAUCAAGCAAUUAUUCUUAAUACGUGUACUUGUUUAAUGCACGCGUUUGUAUACAUGACAUGUGUUCAUAGUUCAGAAUCUUACUUUCUGUUCCUUUUUCAUCAGAAUUCGGGUAAUAAGCUGCACGAGAAUGAAUGAAACAGUCGCUGCAUGUUGCAGCAGUCGCGACAUUUAAAGCAGAAAGGAUGCUUACAAAAAGAACUAAAACGCAUC
rnacentral:lncRNA from 1 species